AGCCCUUCCUCCACCCUCUUGGUACUAUUUAGUUUCAUCAGAAGAAAAAUUUGGAGUUCUUCACUUCCUCGGCUCUCUUUCCUACUGAGGAGAGCGGUGCUAACAUCUCCCGCAUUGUGACUAGAUCAACAUUCUAACAGCUGUGAGAGCAAGCCGUGAUCCCCAGAACACAAGCACACUUUCUUUCCUGAGAAAGACUGUUUUCCUAGCGCUAGCCUCCCCUCGUUCCCCCAACUCAUACCCCCCUUCUCCCCUCCCACCACCCAGCUCAACCCAGAUCACAUUAGAGUCCCAGAGCACAGGGCACAGUUCUCAUCUGUCUGUCACCAAGGAGGCAGACGGGUUGGAGGAACAACAAGUCGCUUGUACCUGAAGAGGAGAGGACACCCCUGGGAAACAAGCAGAUGAGCCACCCCACGAAUCCGAGCCACACUGGAGGACUAAACGAAACCGUCCGUUGUUCUCCUCCUGGCAAAGAGCUCCACUAAAGACCUUAAAAUGCACCAGAUGAAACUCAUAUCUUCAGAGGAAAUGGCCCCUUCGUAGGUUGACGAAUGAAGACUCCCUUUUAAGACAUUUCACACAGUUUUAUCUUGCUGCCCUGUCAUUUCAGGUCCAGUUCAAACGUGAUUGAGUAUUCAUUGUUUGGCCCCUUCACACAGUGUGGUGUCUUAUCACAACACAAAGAUGCAGACCCAGGAAGAGCCGCAGCUGAAGCCCAGGAGAAGCCACAGUCCUGGGCCUGAGCAACAUCUAGAGAGGAGCCCACCAAGGAAUUCCUGGGUUGCCAACUACUCCCUCCAAGAAGCAGCAAUUGUUGUGCUACUAUGUCCUACGGACAAAACACAGAAAAUUUUACCCUUUUUUUUUUUUUUUUCCUUUCUUUUCUGCUUCGCUUAAGAAGAUGAGAGCAAAUGAAGUCAGUCAUAGAAACUCAUCCCAGGAGCACCCCUCUCCCCCCAAAUCCAGACUACGGUGAAAGAACUUCUAAAAACCUUCUAAUUCCUGCAUGGGCCACUGUGGGGUUGAAACAAUUUAAGAACGUGAAAUAUUUUCACCGAUUUCUCAUUUUUCCAAGAGAAGACUGAAGAAAAGUGUGGUCAUCUAGAGAAACGUUAUUACCAAACUUAUUUGUUUGUGUAUUUAUUUAACCGUUGCUGUCUACUUUAUCGCUUAUAUAAUGUUGACAUUCUUUGAGAAUGGGCAGAUGGACCUUAUUCAAGUUCUGACAGUAACUCUUUGUUAUUGUACAAACGGCUUCAGAGGUAUUUCAUUACCAUUUGUAAUCAUCCGUUUGCUUCUAGCUGGUGACAUUUGGAAUAGUAAGCAGGGGACAUUCUUUGUGUCCAGUGAGUUCAUAGAAAGUUAAACUUACUUUCGACAACAGACUCAAGCUUAGCUACCAUUAACCCCUCUUCAGUUACUGUGUGAUGUGUUUGAACAGUAUGAAUGAUUAAUGAAGGCUAAAUAGUCCAGUUUCUAUCUUAAACCCUUUUUGUUAACUGCCAGAGGGCUGAGUGACUGUGAGGUGAUUUCUGCUCAAAUGAGUUUUUAUGCAAUCUGAUGCUUGUUCUCUGACAAAAAAAUUAAUGUAUCAGCUGCUCAUUUUCAAAAGAUGCAAAAAGUCAGAAACUCUCUCUGAUGCUUUUUCCCAUCCCCAGACCAACACCGAGCACCGUGGUUCUUGCCAGUUUGGCAUCAGAAAGAGAACUUGGCUUGCCUGUCUGAAAGAAGUGCAUGGUUGCUUUCUCCCAAGGAAACCAAGAUAAAAUGUGGCCACUGGUCGCAUCUAUUACAGAGGUCCUAAAAGUCCCUUCACAGUUUUCCUGGACCAAAUUCUGGGAUUGUUCCCAGAGGAACACCAUCCAUGAGCUAAGAAAAACAGUCAUGCCUGGCAACUUGCUGGCCGGAGGGAGGUUGAGUGCAGAUUCCAGGUCUCUGGAACUGCAAGCAGACUCUGUCACACCUGCAAAGUGACGUCACACCUGGAAGUAACUGAUGACCUCACCAGCAGAGGAAAUCUCUUUGCAUUUAGUUAUCUGUCUUGUCCUUGUGACAAAGCCCUGGACAACAGUCUCCGAGAAGGAGGGAAGGAGUUCCUCUGGCUGCAGUUGGAGUUUGGGCAAUUCACAUAGACCACGGAGUUGGACCGGAAGGAAGGAAUAACAAGAUGUAUUUCCUGUUUGGUCAAUUCUUACUUCUUUCUUCAAGGAUGAAGAAAUGUCAGCUAUUCUCCAAUGAAGAGAGAAGGGGAUUCUUAGAAUCAAAAAGCCUGACAUCCGGUAAGCAAACACUCCCUUCUUCAAAAGGCAGUGGGAGUGCACCAUGGCAACCUUUUCUUGGUGGGAACUCUCAGCCUGGGCCUCAUGUACUCCACUCCCCCAUACACUGACUUCAGCGGAGUGCCUGGCAGAAUGUCAAUGAGGAAACAGCUAAGUGCAGGAAGUCCUGGAACACAGCCCCGCUGUUCCAAUGGAAGAUUUGGCCUUGGAUUCUCCAGGUAGUCAAGGAUGAUCAUGAACUUCUGAUUGUCCUGGUUCCACCCUCUGAGUGUCAGACAUACAUCACCAUACAGUUUUAUGCAGUGCUGAGGAUUGAACCCAGGACCUUAUGCAUGUUAGCUACUGACAGCCUCUGAAUGGAGCUUAGGUAGUGAUGUGGAGUUACUACAGAUCCCUACCUUUGGAAGGAUGAGGAAAAAAAUAACCGACCAUCCUUGACAUGACUCAGGGUGAGUCUAUCUUCCUGUCUCUUUAUUCUCAUGAAAGAUGGGUCAUCUUUUUUACAUUUCUGAAAUGAGACUUGAGGCUUCUUUGGCAGUUAGCCAGUGGCUGUGCAACUAAGCCUCUGGUAAAGCAUAUGUAACUCCAUUCCUUCAUGGUUGGAGACGACACUGUUGAUGUUUCUAAUUUUUUCAUCCUAUUGGUCCCUUUCUCCAGAAGUCAGUAAUGCAACUUCACAGUUUUGACAUGCUAUUUUUGGUCCAUAUUAUAUUAAAUUGGACAUUUUAACAUAUAGGCUUUUGAAACUACAAUUCAUGUGUGGGAUUUUUUUUUGUAGUUGUAAAUUUUUAGGGUUAUAGUAUAUAAUUAUCACACAGCAUAAGAAAACUGCCGUGUGGGAACCUUCCUGCACUGCCGUGUUUCUGUUAUAAACACGUCUACCCUUUAAUGGGGUAUUUGUCAGUGCAUGUGUUCAGAGAGAUGCUCCAAAGGCAUGUGCUCAGAUGUUAGGAAAUCAUUAUAUUUCCAAACAUAAUCUUUUCUAAUCAUCCCAUUUUGUUUUAUUUAAAAAUAACCUGUUGGUCUCUAAGACAGGUACAAUUAUCUUUGAUCUCAGCUCUGAGGUGCCACCCUUCCAUAAAACUAUUCAGGGGGCUGAAUUAAGGGGGGACUGAAAAGGGAGGCUGAAUAAACUAAAAUUAAGUGUUCUUUUUUCAGAAAAUCUUCAUUCUAACUAUAAAUAAAUAUAUUCACAAGAAGCUGCCUAAAUCCAGCCUCUAACAAGGGAGGCUGCAGAGCACUGGGUUGAUAGUUAACACUUAGCAGUUCAGCCGUGUGACGGCCACAAUUCGGCCUGCUGCACAAACCUCUAUUGAGGACCAGCAGGGUGUGCAGGUGUUGGCACAUUUUAGGAGCGCCAGUGUGAAGUAGAUCAAGUCCUUGGUUUACGGAGAUAGAGGAAUGGUGGUAGGCAGUGGGAAAAAGCUAUACUCACACUGAUAAGAACAGGAAAGGAGGUGAGGUGAGGAGAUGGAUCCCAGGGCCCUGUGCUGAGCCCUGGAGAAGUCAGCAUCUCCUAGAUCAGAAAGGCAACAGGAACAAAGAGAGCCAAGACAAGCAGCAGGUGGUUUGGAAAAACCCACAUAUUUCUGAAAUGAAAUCAUUUCAACCAGAGUGGGGCAGGGAAUAAACCACUUUGCAUCAGGCCCUUGGCAUCUGUGAGCCAGUGACACUGUAGGAAUUUUGCUUUCACUGAACAAAAACAAGUUUCUGGCAAGCUUUAGUUUUCCCGAAAGGUACAUCCAGGGGCCACUCACGAUGAACCCUUCACGCUGCCAUGCCCCAGCCCCCCAAAUCCUGUUCCAUCCCCUACAGAAAAUGCUCAGGGAGUGCCAGACACUCCAAUCCUUUCUUUCCACUGUUAGGAAAGUUCGUCAGACACCUGCCACAUCCUAGAUCCAGAGAGGCACGGCGCAAAGGGCAGACACAGGCCUCCAGGAACCCACAGCCACGCAUUCAUUCUCCAUCCCGUCUCCUUGGGGCUCAGAGGAUGCUUCAAGGUGGCAAAGAGCCAGAUGGCAAACAAAGCCACUCUGUGUGGAGGGAGCAGGCUCUCCACUCAGUCCCCUUUCCUGCCCGAGGAAUGUGUAAACAUCGAGUCAGUGGCUUUCCCAGAGAUACCACCAGUCUUCAGUCAAAUCCAAAGAAAUCGAAUUUUCAAGGAAUUUAGAAAUGUUUCUUUAUUAGAUUCAUUGUUGAGGAGUGUCAGAGUGUUUCAUCACGUUUUAAGUAUCUAUAUUGGGUCACUCCAUGCUAGGGUGUGAUCAAGAUGAGGGGCAACACCUAGCAGGAGGAGGACCAGUGCUGCUUAUACCAGCUGGAAGGGGAGGAUGGCUUCAGCAUGAAGAUACCCCACUAAACAAAUGAGUGUCUAAGAUCAGGGAACUGGAGAUAUACGGGUCCUGGCCAGCAGUCUCUGCCAUCCCAUGUGGAGAGAGAUAAAGCUGAGAAAUGGAGACAGAUGCUGAGACCUGGGGUGGUGGGAGGCACACAUGUCAAGAGGGCUUUGCAUAUAGAAGAGCGGCAAUGGUAGGCAUGGGGGAGUAUAGGAUUUCCGUCAUCCAGGGAAUGCCUCCCCUAAUAGGUUACAGUGAGGGAUAGACCUUGCAUGACUCAUGGCCAACCAAGUGUUAGCCAUUGGGGUGGAACUGAUAGCUAUAUAGCAAGAGCUCUCCCCAUAGUUGAUGCUUUGGGGAAGUGGCUCUUAGUGUGCACUCCCAGGGUAGAACCCCUUAAGGGAAGACUGAGGCUGGAGAGCAGCUGCUGAGCGUUGUCUAUCAAAACUCCUACCAUUCAAUUGGGAUUGGCAGACUCACAUUAGCUAAAACACGGUAACCAUAAUGAGAGAAGCCCCAACAUCUGUUCAUACCUUUGCAUGGAUAGAUUUAAAUGGAACUUUCCUGGCUGAGACAUGGCAUCACAUUUGUAUAUGAUGCCAGCUGCCAUACUGGUAUUAUCCCCAUCAAAUACACCUUAGUAGUUAGGAUAAUUAGAGUAGACUAAUAGUGAUCUGUGACCCAAGAUUUGUGACCAGAGAACACACAGUACUGUUAGUAAAAUACCCCGAAGACCAGAGUGUCAGUGGCCAUCCAAGCCAGGGGAUUGGCCCAAAGGCACAGUGUACUUGGUUGUAAGCCACACUCACCCAAUGGCGUGUGACCUCAGGCUUGGGACAGUUGUGACACACAAGGCCAGUUUCCUCUGUCCUCUGGGAUCUCUCUUUCACUGCUGUCUGCUGCAUCCACAUAGGCCCUUACUCCACAGCUUGGUUUCUAUCGACCCAGAUGGCCUCUACCUAUGUUUGGAGGUUAUGCUAGCAGAGAAGAAUGCACACAUGCCCGUAGCCUAAGACCCAAGUCAGUAGUUCUCAAUGCUUCCUUCCAGUGUGGGGAUCUCCCCAUCUGCUUCCUCUGAUGAAAUGGUGAAGGCACAGGGUGAUGUAGUAUGAUUUCUUGAGGUUAGUGGGACAUGGAGGGAAAAGGAAGCCAGUUUCCUGAGAUCAAUGAUUAUAGAGAAAAUGUUUACUCUGGGGUCAAACGGUAAGUAUUAAAACUGCAUCUCUAGCCAGGCAUAGGUACUUUCAUAUCUGAGAGACGGUCUUCUGUGGUGGAAAACCCUGGAAUUUGAGUUUCACCUUGCUAAACAACUUUGCAUAUGACUCUAAUCUCCCCCAAUCUUCUGCUUCCUCGUCUAUAAAUGGAUGGGAUAAUCUUCACCUUUGAGACCUGAAGAACUCGGAGAUUCUGCACACAAAGAGGUCGGCACAUUACAAGCAUGGAAUACACUACAGCUAUUUUAUUUACCAAGGAGACCAAGAUAUUUGGGAGAAACAGGGGUGACAUUCUUUUUUGUUGUUGGUUUUUUUGUUUUUUUGUUUUUUGCUUUU